AUUGAACGCUGGCGGCAGGCCUAACACAUGCAAGUCGAACGAGUGGCGGACGGGUGAGUAAUGUCUGGGAAACUGCCCGAUGGAGGGGGAUAACUACUGGAAACGGUAGCUAAUACCGCAUACCAUCGGAUGUGCCCAUAUGGGAUUAGCUAGUAGGUGGGGUAAUGGCUCACCUAGGCGACGAUCCCUAGCUGGUCUGAGAGGAUGACCAGCCACACUGGAACUGAGACACGGUCCAGACUCCUACGGGAGGCAGCAGUGGGGAAUAUUGCACAAUGGGCGCAAGCCUGAUGCAGCCAUGCCGCGUGUAUGAAGAAGGCCUUAGGGUUGUAAAGUACUUUCAGCGGGGAGGCGUUACUCGCAGAAGAAGCACCGGCUAACUCCGUGCCAGCAGCCGCGGUAAUAC
rnacentral:rRNA from 1 species